rnacentral:rRNA from 1 species
CAGCCGCGGUAAUACGUAGGGCGAGCGUUAUCCGGAAUUAUUGGGCGUAAAGAGUACGUAGGUGGUUUCCUAAGCAGGGGUCUAAGGCUAUGGCUUAACCAUAGUUCGCCCCCUGAACUGGGUAACUUGAGUGCAGGAGAGAAAGCGGAAUUCCUAGUGUAGCGGUGAAAUGCGUAGAUAUUAGGAGGAACACCAGUGGCAAGGCGGCUUUCUGGACUGUAACUGACACUGAGGUACGAAAGCGUGGGGAGCAAACAGGAUAGAUACCCUGGUAGUCCACGCCGUAAACGAUGAGCACUAGGUGUCGGGGUCGCAAGACUCGGUGCCGCAGUUAACGCAUUAAGUGCUCCGCCUGGGGAGUACGUACGCAAGUAUGAAACCAAAGGAAUUGACGGGGACCCGCACAAGCAGCGGAGCAUGUGGUUUAAUUCGAAGCAACGGAAGAACCUUACCAAGGCUUGACAUCCCUCUGACAGAUCCUUAACCGGAUCCUUCUUCGGCAGAGGUGACAGGUGGUGCAUGGUUGUCGUCAGCUCGUGUCGUGAGAUGUUGGGUUAAGUCCGCAACGAGCGCAACCCUUGUCAUUAGUUGCCAUCAUUAAGUUGGGCACUCUAGUGAGAUGCCGGGGAUAACUCGGAGGAAGGUGGGGAUGACGUCAAAUCAUCAUGCCCCUUAUGUCUGGGCUACACACGUGCUACAAUGGUCGGUACAAAGAGCAGCAAGACCGUGAGGUGGAGCAAUCUCAAAAACCGAUCUCAGUUCGGAUUGUAGGCUGCAACUCGCCUACAUGAAGUCGGAGUGCUAGUAAUCGUGGAUCAGAAUGCCACGGUGAAUGCGUUCCCGGGUCUUGUACACACCGCCGU